rnacentral:rRNA from 1 species
UAGCCAGUCUUACCAAGCAAAAAGAAAUUUAAGUUUGACCCCCCGAAACUGAGCGAGCUACUUCAGAACAGCCAAAAGAGCUAACCCCUCUCUGUUGCAAAAGAGUGGGAAGAUUCUCAAGUAGCGGCGACAUACCUACCGAGCUUAGAGAUAGCUGGUUGUUCAGGAAAAGAGUUUUAGCUCUACCUUAAGUUUUUUCAUUAAGACAAACUAACCCCAAGACUUAAGAGCUAUUCAAAUAAGGCACAGCUUAUUUGAAACAGGAUACAACCUCCCACACUGGGUAAGCAGGGAAACCUAAACAAAGUGGGCCUAAAAGCAGCCACCUGUUAAAAAGCGUUACAGCUUUACUUUACCCGAUCCCUAAUUACUUAACCCCUCUCCAACCCUUAACCCUUACUGAACCAUUUUAUAUUAUAUAAAAGCCAUCAUGCUAGAACUAGUAACAAGAACCCGCAUUUCUCCCAAAUAUAAGUGUAAACCAAAACGGACCGCCCAUUGGUAAUUAACGUUAAUGCACACAUCAUAACAACUCAACUAGAAAACCCUAUGAUACCCCAACGUUAACCUUACACCAGAGCAUUACAGGAAAGAUAAAAAGAAAGAGAAGGAACUCGGCAAACACUAGCCCCGCCUGUUUACCAAAAACAUCGCCUUCUGGUCAUCAUAGAAGGUCCAGCCUGCCCAGUGACAAAGUUCAACGGCCGCGGUAUCCUGACCGUGCGAAGGUAGCAUAAUCACUUGUUCCUUAAAUGGGGACUCGUAUCAACGGCAUCACGAGGGCUACACUGUCUCCUCUCCCCCAUCAGUGAAACUGAUCUCCCCAUGAAGAAGUGGGGAUAUUACUAUAAGACGAGAAGACCCCAUGGAGCUUUAAACGGGAUAUUAACCUUUUACCAAAACACCAACUAAGCCAUAAACCCUUAAUAUCAGCUUUAGGUUGGGGGGACCGCGGAGUAUAACUCAACCUCCACGACUAAUGGGCAACGCCCUUAUCUACGAACAACACCUCUAAGAAUCAAUAAACUGACGUUUUAUGACCCGAUAUUUCGAUCAACGAACCAAGUUACCCUGGGGAUAACAGCGCAAUCUACUUCAAGAGCCCCUAUCGACAAGUGGGUUUACGACCUCGAUGUUGGAUCAAAGUAUCCCAGUGGUGCAGCCGCUA